rnacentral:lncRNA from 1 species
GCUGCACUGGCCGCCGGAGUUGGGGCGAGCUCGGCGGUGACGUGGGGUGCUCACGUGAUCGCGAGCUGCAGAGCGACGCAGCCUUCGGUGCAGUCGUCACUCCUGUCUGGGUACCAGCUCCCCACUCCCCUGCGCACGGCGGGUUGGCAUCAGGCCCGCAGCAAGCGGAGCAGGUCUGCCGAACCAAGUGUGGCGGCGGCGCACUCGUGGCGAGGAUCAGAAGGAGCAAGAGACAGCAAGGAUAGGCCCAGGUCAGUGCCGGGAACAGUGCAGGGAGGAAGGGGACUGGUGCACAGCCCAGCCUGAGAUCCCUUGCUAACUUCCCCAGACCCCAUGCCCCGUCCUCCAUUUUGGUGCCUGCUGCGCUCUGGGAAAGAAUCCUGGGAAAAGAAAAAUGGUGGGCUUUGGGUUUGAGGGAGGGAGGAAAAGGAGAGCGCUGGGAAAGAGGUCAAAUUGAAGGCUCCCCAGAAGGAGCACGAAGCGCCUGAGGUGGGAAAAAAAAAAUUUUUUUUUUAAUCUUUACUAUCAGAACUCUGAAUCCUGCUGGUCAGUGCACCAAGCAUUCAGUGUCUCUCCUUGCCUUUGUCUUACUUGUUCAAAGAAAAAUAACCGGGGGAAAAAAAUCUCAUCAUGGCUAAUA